rnacentral:rRNA from 1 species
ACGGCUGAACCAGCAACUUGGAGGAAUGAAAGGCAAUAGCUGAUUGCAUUUAAUUUAAUGUAGUUACUACUUGGUAGUUUAAAAUUCUAGGUAGAAUUUUGAUGAUGACAUUAUCUAUCUAUUAGUCUUGACCAAAUUACGUGCCAGCAGUCGCGGUAAUACGUAGAAGACAAGUGUUAUUCAUCUUUAUUAGGUUUAAAGAGUACCAAGACGGUUAAUAAAGCCCAAAAAAAAUGAAUACGGGGGACACAUUGACUAGAGUUAUAUGAAAAGAAGCUAGAAGGUACUGUUGCGUGUAGAGAUGAAAUUCUAUGAUACCAGAUAAUUGGCACAGAUUUAUGCGAAGGCAUCUUCUUAUGUAAUAACUGACGUUGUAGGACGAAGGCUUAGGAAGUGAACAGGAUUAGGUACCCCAGUAAUCUAGGCAGAAAAUGAUGAAUGUCAUAGGUUAAAUACAGACAGGUUAAAUUGACUAUCUAAUAGUAAAUAGGUGGUAUAUUAAUCAGUCUAUUAUUGUGUCUAUAAAUGAAAGUGUAAGCAUUCCACCUCAAGAGUAAUUUGGCAACAUUGAAACUGAAAUCAUUAGACCGUUUCUGAAACCAGUAGUGAAGUAUGUUGUUUAAUUAGAUGAUACACAAAAACCUUACCACAAUUUGAAUAUAUAUAAAAUAUAUUUACAAGCGCUGCACGGCUGUCUACAGUUAAUGUCGUGAGACUUUGGUUAGUUCCAUUAAAUUAACGUAAACCCUAAUUUUAUUUAUAAAUAAAAUUUACAUCGAAAUAUUCGGUGCUUUAAUAGGGAACAUGACAAGUCAUCAUGGCCAA